rnacentral:rRNA from 1 species
GACGUAGGGCGCGAGCGUUGUCCGGAUUUAUUGGGCGUAAAGAGCUCGUAGGCGGCUUGUCGCGUCGUCCGUGAAAACUUGAGGCUCAACCUCAAGAGGUCAUCGGAAACCAUCUGGCUAGAGUCCGGAAGAGGAGAGUGGAAUUCCCGGUGUAGCGGUGAAAUGCGCAGAUAUCGGGAAGAACACCCAUGGCGAAGGCAGCUCUCUGGGACGGUACUGACGCUGAGACGCGAAAGCGUGGGGAGCGAACAGG